UGCACCCAUGCGCACUCCUAAAGCGCAUCUGCUGCUUAUUGUUGACAUAACGACACGUGCACACACACACAGCGGCCAAUACGCAUCUGUGCCCCCCCCUUCUACCCCUUGGAGGAGCGAAAGAGGUGAGCGUGUGCCGCUGAAGGAGGAAGACGACGGGGAAAGCACGAAAAGGCGAAGCAACUCACCCCACCAACUCCGCAAGACAAGGCUUUAGGAGGAGGUGGCGCGAGGGGGAGGCCAAACAACUGUGAAGAAGUGCUGGUGCCUCUCUCACCAGUUUGCUCGUCAGCGGUUCUCCGCUCCCUUCUUUUCUGUCGUCUUCGCUCUUCAUCCCUUCUUUUUGUUUUCUGUGCUUCCUGGUGACUUUGCUGCCCACCACACCACCCCCUCUCGUACCCUGUACCUCCUCCACCCCUCAGUGGCACGCCGAUUCCCUCCUUUGCUUUGUUUGUUUCUUUUUGCCGGCAGCGCACGAGCACGUGCACACAGGAACACACACACACACACACACACACAGGCACACAGGCACACAGAGCACCGUGUUUCCUCUCGGUUUCUCUCCAUCAUCCCCCUCCCUCCCUCCCUGCUGCUUCUAUACCAACUUGCAUUCAUCAUCUUUUUUUUUGUUUUCGGUUUGUUGUGCUAAAACGAAACGUUUUACGCGUGCUUUGGUUUCUCACCGACACGCACGCAUACCCACACCCACACCCCACUUGUUUAUAGCGUAUUGUGUCUGCCUCCGCAUCCGCGUCGCCUGCCAGAGCGCGCACCACUACAUCGCACCGCGUCUCCCACGACCAUGCUCUCUGCCAGCUGCCACAACGAUGAGCCCUCUGCCGCGACUGCUGGACAGGCGCCUGCGGGUCGUGGGCAGCUGCAUCCGUCGACACCAUCGUGCUUUUCUGCAGCGCCGGACGUUCUGCCUGUUGAGCUACAGGUGGAGACCAUGUCCUCCCUAUCUAGUCGCGUGUUCCUGUACGUGUGGUACGCCGUCCUGGUGGUGGCGUUGGUGGUGCAGUCCAACGUGCGCUUGCAGUGGAGCAGCCGCAAUUUCUGCGGGGCGGCGGAAGAGGUGUCUGUCUACCAUUUGGAUGAAUGGAACAGUAGUGCCUGCCUGACUUGGGAGGCGUACUGGGUGCGAGAGGUUUAUCCACCGAGACGGUCACGGGGUUACUCGCAACAGCAGCAGUGGAUGUCGCUGGAGGGAGCCGGCGUAGUAGCCGACACGACUCGAGCGUUGGAGAGCGGUGACUCAGCUGGUUAUCGAUACGUGGCGUGGCCCCCAAUGGAUGGGGUACUGCGUGCCAGAUCUGCCUGCGGCUCCUGCAACGGCGGUGACGCAGCCGUCCCGUCUGAGCAGUGCCUCUCUCCGCACUCACCUCAGGAGGCGAGAGAGGUGGGCAGUGCUUCGGUGCACCAGCGCGCUGCUACGUCUUUCUCGCCGCCGGACUCCUCCUUGGAAGUCAGGAGCGCAUGGGCUUCGAGCGGCUCCGCUAUGCCGCUGUCGCCGCUGACAGGCCCGACGAUGCCGCCGCUACACCUCAAGUACAAGCUGCGUUGGACAGCACAAGCUCUGAGCGGCGUGCUGGAUCACCAACUCAAUCGAUUCCUGCACGUCUUCAUUAGCCUUGCCUCGCCUUUGGCCAUAGAAACGGGAAUGCCGUCUGCCAGUGCGACCUGGGGUAGCUCUGUGAAGCAUUCGCUCUGGGGUGCGCCACAGCGAGUCUACGAAGUCCUUGUAGCACUGGAAGAGACAUCGCUCGCGCCGUGUGAAAACAACUCGGAGAGCAGCAGCGGGGGAGGCUGGGGCAGUGACGGUGACAGCAGUAGCAUGAGCGACCAGCCAAAGUACGUGUACACGUAUCGCGCAAGCGUAACCUGCCGGCGUGAUGCGCCGCGCUGCAGCAACAUCGUGCUCCCCUCCAGUGUGGUGAUCCCAGCCAACCACAGCCAGCUUACCUUGACACUGAUCGACGUGGACGCUGAGCUGGCGGAGGCGUCACUGCGCAGCUUCAUGAUUGGCCACGGUGAUGAUGACGACCUGGAUGCGGUGCCGACGUCGCGCCUCCUCGCAUGCGAGGGCGCUCUUGCAGGCGCAGUCGACUCACCCUGCACGCAUCAAGGGCCAGCAGCGCGGCGCACUCCUCUGGCAUCGAACGCGACACCGCGGCCGGCCCCUUCGAGUGCGGUAGGGGUCAUGUAUCAACGUUCGCAGUACACGAUCGGUACGCUGGUGUUUCGCUACUUUUUCCUCCUUGUGACUCUUGUCUCGAUGCUCCGCUUCCUCUACAGCAGUCGGCAGGCGCACCGCAUGAGGUUUGAGCAGAAAUGGACGUUGACGGCUCAAAUCGGGCUCAUCUUCUACCUCAAUCCUGUCUACUGGUGGUGCAUCUACGCCGGCGAGGGCACGCGAAGGGGCAGUGCGAACGGCAUUGGCGGCGCGAACGACGGGACGCCAACGACACUGCCUGCGCUUGCCCGUUUUCUUUUACAACUGCUACGCCUCCUCCUCUACUAUGUUGAGUUCCACGUUCCGACGCACUUUGCGGCGCUCAUCGUGUGCUACGUAUGGAGCAUCAUCGCCGGCUCGUUUCGCUGGCGCGUGCCCACCAACAAUGCUGCUGCGGCGGAAUCCAGGCACGCGCUCCACCCUCCAGCGGCGACGCGGAGUUCGACGUCCGCGUCUGCCGCACAGGAGGGUGAUCCGCAGCCGUCGGCUAGGUCAUCUCACGUGUCUGCUGCCGAUCUCUCGGCUGAGGCAGGUGCACAGGCGGUGCCGAGCUCAAAGGUGGCGCGUUUCCGUGCGCGAGUCUUUCUGCUUUCGUUUCUUGCCCUCGUCACGAGUCUCGACGUGGCCAAGUGCUGCUUGGAGGAGAAGGGCGUCGGUGGGAGCGAGCUGACAUGCAAGAGCCCGAUGUGCCUCCGUGUUGACAAGUGCAUUGGCUAUCUUCUUCUGUGCGGGAUUUUGUCAAGCGGGGUGGGGCUCUACUGGCUACGCCGCAACCUCGCCCGCCACCCGUACCUCUCCACCCGUCCCCAGCAGCUUGCCUGCCGCAUUAUGAUCUUCAUGUACUUCACGGGUGGCAUCUACAGCGUUGCCCAGGUAGCCCUGCUGGACGCCCUCUACGCGCAGCUGCUGGGGGUCAUCUACUACCAGCCCCUCGUCCAGCUCCCUCAUCUGCUGGUGCUAACGAGUUUGGUGAACCACAUGACGUAUGUGUACACGACAACGCAGUCGUCGCUACAGAUCCCGCUGCGGCCGAACGAUCCACGCUGGAAGCGCGUCGGCUGGUCAUCGCGGUGGUACCGCUGGCUGAACUCGCACGGCGGAAGCCUGUACGUCUUCUUUAGCGAGGCGGAGGAGCGGCUGUUUUACGACGUGCAGGUGGCCUAUCAGCUGGCGAAGUGUACGUGCAAGCUGGAGAAGAGGCAGAAGAAGAAGAGCAAAAAGAGCGCCGAACCGCCGAAGGCGAGGGCGGGGGAAAGGGCAGAGGCUGGCGGCGAGGGCGACGGCGGCCAACAUCGGCGUCGACCUUCACUGACGCAGAGCGGGCGGGACAUCAACGCAGCUGGUGUCGAGGGCCUCCAGGGUGGCAACCAUUUUACGCCACCGCUCCUGCCACCAGUCGACACUUCCGCUUCCGCUGCUGCUGUUGCUACGGCUGUCCCUUCCACGGUAGGCAGAGAGGUGGCCGAGGAUGCAGGGUUCGUCGAUCCACCAUCGCGGGAAGAGAGCGACUGGCUUCCGCCUUUCGACAUGGCAGGUCGACGCCUUACGCUGUCCACCAUCACCACCCACCCGUCUACCUCCUCUUGGAGUCGAAUGGCCUACGCUGACAACGGCGACAGCGACGAGCAGAUCAGGACGCACGACAACUCGAGUUCGCCAAACCUGGGUCGGUCUGUCAGCUGUGAAGACGAGCCACGCGCACUAACGGCGUCGUGCAACUCCGCAGACACGAUGCCUGGCGGUGGACUGGAAGUCGGCGGCACGCCUGCCUUGCCACAGCCCUUGUCGGCUUCGGACGCCGACGACGCAGCGGCCGGUUGCAGCUUUCUUCUCUCGCAGAGCGGAGGGGCUCCGCGCUACGCGUCGAGCCGCGCCGCCGGCCGUAUGCCGGACCCACGGCAUGGUGCCGAGAGCAGGCUGGUGGACGGCACAGCGACGUUCCUCGACUUUCUUGCCGAAACGAGCGUUGACCGUCCACUGCGUGUGCGGCUGCGGCAACGAGCGCGGCAGAGCUUCGUAUUCUUCAACUUGGAGACCGCGAUCGACUGCCUGAAUUUGUCGCGGGAGGCGUACGCGGUUCAGGAGAGCCGCGGCGACAAGUUUAUCUGCACAGGCAUCCAGGUAAACGCGGCCGAGGUACCGAGGGUGGCGCUGGGGUUUGUGGAGCGCGUCGCCAUGGCGCUGCUCGGCCUGUGCUUCAAGCCAUCUCCACACGUGUGCCAUGCCCUCGAUGACAGCGGCGAAGAGGACGCGGCGGCGGCCAUAUCAUUCACGUCGGGGGAUGAUAGGACGCCACUCUUGGAUGAACGUCGCCCAUCUCUAUCCCGAUCCCCCUCACGUGCCCCACCUGGCGCAGAGGUUGCGUCAUCGGCGACACGGGCGGCUCAGGCUGAUCCGGCGGCGGCGGCAGCUUUACUUCACGGCAGCAGCAGCAGCGCUAGAAGCGGCAGCUGCCAGCCCCUUUUUCGGAAACCCACCCCUGCGGCCUUUGCAACAUCGCCUUGUGUUGGCGGGACCUCGUCACCGCCAGGUGCUACCGCAGCCGGCGCAUCUUCCUCUUCUUCCUCUCCUUCCAAGAGGAUUGGGUCGUUCCCGACGAGCGCCUCGGCAGCGACCGCCAACGCCGGAGCCGACACUGUGCGACUGCCACACAUGAAUGUGGAGCAGUACGGCUACCAUCGUGUCGCUGUCCUGGAGACGCGUGGGGUUCAGGUCGUGGUGGUGCGCAUGGACACGUCAGGCUCCUGCCCGGUGCACGUCGGCAAGGCGCCGCGCCUCGUCAUCGCCUUCCGCGGUACCGACAACGUGGCGAACGUGAUGGAGGACAUACGGUUCCGGCAGCGCACGUGGAAGGAGAUGGAGACGCCGACCCUGUCGUCCCGGGCGUCUGUGCACAGCGGGUUCCUAGAGCUGUGGAUGUCGCUGAAGGAACGGGUGAUUGACGUGGUGCUGAGGGAGCUGCGCAGCCAGUGUACACCGUUUGAGGAGUCAAGCGCCGAGGUCUCUGCUGCUGGCACGACAGGCCACGCAGAGGAGGGUGCGAGUACCGCGGCCGGCCGCUCACCGUCGCGGGCGGGCCACGACAUGUUUCAUACUACGGUGCCAUUCUCUGAUAUCUGGACGUUGCGACGCAACAGCGGCGGCAGGGGUUGCGCUGACCCUCGCGAGGGUGCCUUUGGCAGUAAGCAAGGCGGCUCCGAGGGCUUCAUGCGCGUCUAUGUCACCGGCCACAGUCUUGGUGGUGCGCUGGCGUCUCUGUGCGCCUACACGCUGCGCCGCAUGCUGCUGCUCAUCCAAUACCCGGAACCGGAUCUCGUCGUCUACACAUUCGGCCAGCCUCGCAUCGGCAACUUCGUCUUCAAACAGUACUACAACCGCGCCGUGCCGUGCACCUUCCGCGUUGUGAACGAGAGCGACGCUGUUUCCGGCUUCAACUUCUUCGGCGGCCACCACGUUGGCGUCCAGGUGAACAUUGACCGCCACGGCAACUACAUCUGCAAGCCCAUGUACAUUGAGCGCAUGUUCCGGCCCACGCGCGGGCGCGGAUUCGCUCUCGCGAACCACACCAUCUCGGCCUACGCGAGUUCACUGAAUGCGAUGGCCAACGUUUACACACACGGCGCGUGCCCUUUGCGGUGCCGCCAGCCCUACAUGGGCGAGAUCGUGUCGGUGAGCAGCACCAACAGCGAGGAGGACACCCGCAACGCGGCGACGGCCGGGGAGGAGGACUAACAACCUGCACGGUUGACCCUGCGCUUCCUGCAACGAGAGGCGUCGGAGGGAUACCGACGGUGCGUCGAGUUGAACAGAAGGAAGACACCAUAAAGGAGCGAGGAGGGUGUGUGGGCGGGGGACUCGUCGUUGGAGUCUUAGCUAUCCUUCUCGUUUUAUCGACCAACUGUCGUCGCUCUCAUGGCGUGCGUUGCUGUGCGAGGUUUGGAACUCUUCGUUCACGCUAUGCUUUUGGAUCCUCUGCCGCUUUCCUUUCCCCACCGCAGGUGCACGUGCCUCUUGCCUUUUUUUGUCGCGUAGCACUUUCCCCACCAGAGUGUCGUGGAGGACAUGCUCGUCACAUGCACUCGGUGCCAUCGACCGACCAAGCGAAGAAACGUAACCAACAGACCGCAGG
rnacentral:misc_RNA from 1 species